UACGAAGGGGGCUAGCGUUGCUCGGAAUUACUGGGCGUAAAGCGCACGUAGGCGGCUUUCUAAGUCGGGGGUGAAAUCCUGGAGCUCAACUCCAGAACUGCCUUCGAUACUGGAGAGCUUGAGUCCGGGAGAGGUGAGUGGAACUGCGAGUGUAGAGGUGAAAUUCGUAGAAUAUUUCGCAAGAACACCAGUGGCGAAAG
rnacentral:rRNA from 1 species